CCGGCCGAACCUAAAUUUUGAUUGUUCGAUUUUCGAUUUAAUCGAUUAUUCGGUCGGCGUGCGGUUUACAAAUUUUUAAAUUUUGGUGUUCGGUGCGGUUUUUAAGGCCGAACUAUUCUAUAUGUUUGAAUUUUUGGUUUUUGGCUUUUUGCUUCCUUUGUAGUCAGACGCCAUUUCUGAAAAAUAUAUUAUUGAUCUUUUACACAGAAUUUUGAGAGGAGGUAGUUUAAUUGGAAGUUUGGAACAUACUAUUGUUGUCUGCAAUUCCACUGAAGGUGCACGCAUAUGCUAUUGUAGCGUUAGCGAAAUUGCUACUGUCUGCGUCAGUGCACUGCAGUUUGAUGUAUAUAGAUUACAGUUGUCCACGGAAAUUGUAUAUCAUGCUUUCUUUGGAAACUACAGAGAAUGAUGCCAAGUUUUUAAGGUCGUAUGUAUAGGAAGAUUACAGACUUAUUUUUAUUGUUUGCUUGUGGUUUUGUCUUGGAUUUUACCAUAAUUGUUUUGAAACUUGAUAUUUUGAAGUUCAAUGUUCAAAUAUAUUGUUAGAAUCAGUAAAAAAAACAGCCAAAUAUGAUAGUUUAUAACCAACCGAACAAAAAUCGAAAACCAACCGAACCGUAGUUACAAACACCGAACCAAUCGAAGUUAUAUUGGUUCGGUUGUCGGUGCACCAUAUCAAUAACCGAAGACCGAACAAACCGAACCGAAAUUCUUGCAAAUCGCACCGUACCGAGCCACGCCCACCCCUACGUCAAGGUAAGUUGUAUUUUGCUUUUUUAUCUUGAUUUAAUUUUUUCAGUGGGGUUUUAGGUUUGUUUAAUACAUAUGUAUAAAAUUAAAGGCCAUGUUCAUUUGUUUGAUAUGAGUGUAAAUGAUAGUUUUAUAUGGUGUAAAGUUGUGUCAUUUUACUUUUUUGUUGGGAUUGUUGUUGUUGUCGAGUUAUCCCUUGUCUUUAUGCGAUUUAUUUAUUCAUUUUUUGUCGCUCCCUUUAUAUGCAUGUAUACACAAAUGACUGAUUUGGUCUCUGUAUUUUUUUGUCUCCUUUUUUAAAUAUGACCCACUGUUGAAGGAUAAUUGAUGAAGUCGAUAUUAUUUUUUAUUAUGGGGGUGAUUAGGUAAUUUUUUCUGACCUGGUCUAUAACAAGAAUAUAGUGCACCUGUGGGCUGUGUUUGAUUGGAAAUUACCGUAGUUUGAAGAUAUCUGUCAGGAGUUCACUUCAAAAUUAGGAUUUUCUGAAGUUAAGCAGCUAUUAGUAGCAGAUUUUUCUGGUAGGUAUUAUCUUAUUGAAAAUGAUGAUAGUAUUAGGACUUUGCAAUGUCUCUUUUGUCAGCAGUUCAAGGAAAUCAAUUUUGUUGUUGUUGAUGAGUCUGAAUUUACAGUCCAUGCACAAGACAUUACAUACCACACUGAAACUUAUGGUGUAAAUGUUGAAGUAGCCAGUGAUUGUGAACAUAGCCUUAGUUCCUAUGAUUUUUCUAAAUCUGAUUGUAAUGAUUGUGAUUAUGAAGAACUUGAAAGUAUUAACAGGCAAAGGAGAAGAGUAGUGUCUGAUAGAUUAGAAAACUUAAAGGAGUUGGAGGUUGGGAUGACAUUUUAGGACAUGAAGGAACCUAGACAGUUUAUCAAUUUCUAUGCUAUAGCUAACAAGAAAGGGUUGUGGGUUGUUAAAAGCGACACAACAAGAAGUAGAUAUGAGUGUGAUACAGGUUGCCCAUUUGUAUGUCUCAUAUCCCAGGAUGGUAGGACUGUUGGGUACAAAAUCAAAACUUUGAAUCCAAACCACAAUUGUGAUCCUUGUUUCAAAAAUAGGAGAGCCAGUGCAAAGACUUUAGCUCAAUAUUUUAAGAACAAGGUACAAAACAAUCCAAAGUACAAGGUAAAGGAUAUGGGGGGAGUACUGGAUACUGAUUUAAGUUUGAAUAUCACUAAGUCCACUCUAAAAAGGGCAUAAGGUUGGCUCGUGAGAAGCUAGAGAGCAGUUUUCUGAUGACUACAGUAAGCUUGAGGCAUUUAGACAGGAGAUUAAGCAUAGUAAUCCUGGUAGUGAUGUAGUCACUAACAUAUCAAAUGAUGCUUUGGUUGAAAGGAAGAGAAGAUUUUUGAGGAUGUACAUAUGCUUCCAAGCUAUGAAGCAUGGAUGGAAAGAUAGCUUAAGGCCACUAAUAGGCUUGGAUGGUACUUUUUUUAAGGGAAAAUGUAAAGGUCAGCUGUUAGUUACCAUGGGGUAAGAUUGUAUGAACCAGUUCUAUCCACUUGCUUGGGCAGUAGUGGACAAGAAAACCAGUAGAACUUGGAGCUGGUUUUUGGAGCUCUUAAAAAUGUCUUUGGACUUGAUAAAUGGUGCUGCAGUGACAUUCAUAUCAGACAUGCAAAAGGGCUUGCUUGAUGUUGUUAGUGUUGUACUACCUGAGGCAAAUAAAAGAUUCUGUGUGAGGCACAUUGAAGACAAUUGGUGUAAAAGAUGAAAAAGUGAUGAAAUGAAAAAAUUGAUGUGGUGGUGUGCCUGAAGCACCUAUGAAGAGGAAUUUAAGGAUCAGUUGGUAAGCUUGGGAGAGCUUGAUGAAGAUAGUGCAAGGGACUUGGUCAAAUAUCCUCCAAAAGUUUAGUGUAGAGCAUAUUUUGACACUCAAUGCAAGAAUAUGAUGGUAGACAACAAUUUUACCGAGUCUUUUAACUCAUGGAUCCUGGAGGCAAGACACAAACCAAUUAUCAAAAUUCUAGAAGAAAUCAGAGUCAAGGUAAUGGAAAUGUAGGCUAAUAAUGAAGGAAAGUUGAGGAGCUGGAAUAGUGAUUUCAGUCCACGGUGUUUGAGGCUAUGCAAUGACUACAGAGUAAUUGCUUAAGGUUGUGUAGUUGUGUUUAAUAGUGAUUAUGGCUAUGAGAUAGCUGAGGGUGAAGAUACACAUACCGUCAACCUUGAUUCCAAGAGAUGCACCUAUAGGCUAUGGGAGUUGAGUGGAAUUCCAUGCCCUCAUGCUAUUGAAGCAUUGGCACACAAGAAAGUGGAACCCCUGACUGAAAUUAAUUGGUUUUACAGUAGAGAAGCUUACUUAAGGACAUAUAGGCACAAGUUGCUUCAUGUGAGAGGGCAAAAUUCUGGAAAAUGGAUCCUUCACAACAUUUGGAUUCACCAGCAGUUGUGAAAUUGGUUGGAAGGCCCAAGGUAAAGAGAAAUAGGGAGCCAGAUGAGGCAAGAAAGAGAAAGGGAGAGUGGAAUGCUUCUAGAAAGGGUCUUCCAGCACAUGCACCAAUGUGGUAAACUCAACCACAAUGCAAGAGGAUGUUACAAGAACAACAUCAAUGGAAAGACAUCACAACAGAGGAAAGGGAAAGGCUGCAGUCAAAAUCAAAGCCAAAACUCAGUUAGUAAUGAUAACAAAAGUGUUCCUUAUGAAGACCAUUUGGAUGUUGGAACAUAACAAUCAUUUGCAUCUGUGUUUGACACUCAAACUGGAAUACAAAAGUCGCUUGCAUAUGGUUCAGAAGUUGAGAAUGAAGAAGUCCCCAUCUUGCGACCAAUGGUUGUAUUUGAGACACAAACAUGUCUGGAACCAAAGAAGACAAAUCCUGUUGCACCUGUGGCAAAGGCUAAUACAAGGAAGAUUCAGUUUAAGGGAGAUCACACUGGUGCUGCAAAUCCAACUAAACUGCCUUAUUCGCCAAUCAAAUGCAUAUAGAAGGAAAAAGAGGCAAUGACAUUAAGCCAGCUUCAAGGAGAAGGACGAAAGAAAAGAAUCAAAAGUAUGGGAAGCAAAGGGUAGGGAGCACUUGCAUAAUGUAGUCAUGAUGGAUGGUUUUGGAAGAUCUUGUGAUUUUUGUUAUUGAAAUAUAGCUGAAAGUUGUGCUUCUUAUGAUUUCAAGUAGCUAAAACUUGUGUUUUUCAUGAUUUCAUAUGGCUGCAACUUGUACUUUUUUGGGGUUAACC